rnacentral:lncRNA from 1 species
CAGCCAGCAAUUUUUGACCCCACCUCUGCACUGUGAAUGGGUUUCAGAUAUCCUUUGGAUCCGCUGCCUUUCAGGCAGCCUGCUCCAUGAGGCUCCAGCAAUUAAGAAUGGUGAGGAACGAGCUGGACAGGAAUUGUUCUGAUGGAGAGAAGCCUGCUGUGCAGCCUGGCUCAUAGGACCUGAUGCCCACCAUUGCCAACAGCGUCACAGAAUGGGGACAGGAUUCAAGCUGGAUUCUCGCUCUGGAUGUCUAUUUCAAGCUUUCAGGUGGUGGCAUACAAAGGUAGAAGUGUUCCCAGAGCUCUGUGCAUGAGGAUGGCACCUGGGAGGACCCAUCACUUCGCUGUCACAACCGAGCCAGGAAAAAGGCCCA